AGCGAACGCUGGCGGCAGGCUUAACACAUGCAAGUCGAACGGGCACUUCGGUGCUAGUGGCAGACGGGUGAGUAACACGUGGGAACGUACCUUUCGGUUCGGAAUAAUUCAGGGAAACUUGGACUAAUACCGGAUACGCCCUUUGGGGGAAAGAUUUAUCGCCGAUAGAUCGGCCCGCGUCUGAUUAGCUAGUUGGUGAGGUAAUGGCUCACCAAGGCGACGAUCAGUAGCUGGUCUGAGAGGAUGAUCAGCCACAUUGGGACUGAGACACGGCCCAAACUCCUACGGGAGGCAGCAGUGGGGAAUAUUGGACAAUGGGCGCAAGCCUGAUCCAGCCAUGCCGCGUGUGUGAUGAAGGCCUUAGGGUUGUAAAGCACUUUUGUCCGGGAAGAUAAUGACUGUACCGGAAGAAUAAGCCCCGGCUAACUUCGUGCCAGCAGCCGCGGUAAUACGAAGGGGGCUAGCGUUGCUCGGAAUCACUGGGCGUAAAGGGCGCGUAGGCGGACUUUUAAGUCGGGGGUGAAAGCCCAGGGCUCAACCCUGGAAUUGCCUUCGAUACUGAGAGUCUUGAGUUCGGAAGAGGUUGGUGGAACUGCGAGUGUAGAGGUGAAAUUCGUAGAUAUUCGCAAGAACACCAGUGGCGAAGGCGGCCAACUGGUCCGAUACUGACGCUGAGGCGCGAAAGCGUGGGGGAGCAAACAGG
rnacentral:rRNA from 1 species